GUCAUGAUGGCCGAGCGGUCUAAGGCGCCAGACUCAACGUUUAAUUCCUUCUCAUAAUGCAUGGGAGAGCGUUCUGGUCUCCGAAUGGAGGCGUGGGUUUGAAUCCCCUUUCUGACA
rfam:Nematostella vectensis strain CH2 x CH6 NEMVEscaffold_681_Cont31683, whole genome shotgun sequence.